rnacentral:rRNA from 1 species
CACGUAGGGGGCAAGCGUUGUCCGGAAUCAUUGGGCGUAGAGCGCGCGUAGGCGGUCAGAUAAGUCCGGUGUGAAAGUCAGAGGCUCAACCUUUGAAUGCCGCUGGAAACUGUCUGACUAGAGUCCGGAAGGGGCGAGUGGAACUCCUGGUGUAGCGGUGAAAUGCGCAGAUAUCAGGAAGAACACCUAUGGCGAAGGCAGCUCGCUGGGACGGUACUGACGCUAAGGCGCGAAAGCGUGGGGAGUAAACAGG